rnacentral:rRNA from 1 species
UACAGAGGGGGCAAGCGUUGUUCGGAAUUACUGGGCGUAAAGGGCGCGUAGGCGGCCAACUAAGUCGAACGUGAAAUCCCCGGGCUCAACCCGGGAACUGCGUCCGAUACUGGUUGGCUUGAAUCCGGGAGAGGGAUGCGGAAUUCCAGGUGUAGCGGUGAAAUGCGUAGAUAUCUGGAGGAAUACCGGUGGCGAAGGCGGCAUCCUGGACCGACAUUGACGCUGAGGAGCGAAAGCCAGGGGAGCAAACGGG